rnacentral:lncRNA from 1 species
GGGGGUGGGAGCCGGUGGGGGGCAGGGCCCCCAGUGCCGGCCCUCGUGGGGCUGGAGGCCCAGCUCCCGCCUCCGUCUGUCUGUCCAUCUCCCCUCUGCGUGGACUCUCGGGUGGGGCUGGUGGGGAGUGACCGCCCUUCCCAGCUCACGGCCACCCGUUGCUCUCUUUCCUUCUUGGGGCUGUUUUGGACUCGGCGGCGCUGUGCAAACACGGGCUCUUGGAGUCGAUCUCGCAGCAGUGACAGCCACAUGUCACCCUGUGUUGUUCUGCAGGCCCCCCGAUCCCGCUGGUUCAGCCCGGUAAGGGGCAGGGCGCACCUUACUUCAGUCCUACAGGGGGUUGGCAUGAGGUGGGGCCAUGGGUCUGGGCAGAGCCCCUUCCCAGGGCCGGGCUGAGGGGGGCUAGCAAUUUUGCAUCCUGAACUUGAAUCGUUUUUAAGGGAGUUUCCCCAAAACUG